AGCAGAAUAGCUUAAUAGUUAAAAGCAUGAACCAUGGAGCCAGAUGCCUGGGUUCAAAUCCCUAUUCUGCCA
rnacentral:tRNA from 1 species